UACGUAGGGUGCGAGCGUUGUCCGGAUUUAUUGGGCGUAAAGAGCUCGUAGGCGGCCGUUCGCGUCGGAUGUGAAAGCUCAGGGCUCAACUCUGAGAUGCCAUUCGAUACGGGACGGCUAGAGGUAGGUAGGGGAGAGUGGAAUUCCUGGUGUAGCGGUGAAAUGCGCAGAUAUCAGGAGGAACACCGGUGGCGAAGGCGGCUCUCUGGGCCUUACCUGACGCUGAGGAGCGAAAGCUGGGGGAGCGAACAGG
rnacentral:rRNA from 1 species